rnacentral:siRNA from 1 species
GAUAUUAGCAUUCUCAAUCCCACU